rnacentral:misc_RNA from 1 species
AACGCACAUUGCGCCCGCCAGCAUUCUGGCGGGCAUGCCUGUUCGAGCGUCAUUACAACCCUCGAGCCCACCCCUUCCGGGGGGAGGGGCCCGGUGUUGGGGGACGGCCCGCCCUCGCGGCAGGCCGCCCCCGAAAUGGAUCGGCGGCAACGGCGUCCGCCUCCCCUGCGUAGUAGCACAGCAUCUCGCAACGGGAGCGCGCCGCGGCCACUGCCGUAAAACGCACAACCCUUCAAGAGUUGACCUCGGAUCAGGUAGGAAUACCCGCUGAACUUAA